AGUUCUGCAAUGAAGAGUCCAAAACCAAGGCAAUAACACAAUCUACUUCUCAGAUGCAAAAUGGUCCGACAUCUGGCAUCGUAUAUUAACAUGGAAGAUAUACAUAACCAUGAAUUUUGAUUGUGAAUUGGAUCGAACUGCUUCCUUGCAAUGAUUCUUACAUCUGACAAACAUGAUCCAACUUCUUUUUGUGUGAGAGUCGACACUGAAGCCUCCAUGAAGCGAUUUGACGCACUCUACAGAUUGCCUGACGUACCCAAAAAUCACGUGCUGAUGCACCGCCGUGCAUGCCGGAACCUUCGUUUCUCCCUUUCCUUUCCGUUAAAAAUGCUAGACAGUUUUGACUUGACGUACCUACUGGGUACUGCCCUCUGGGAUUGUGUGGUUGAGGACUGCUAGCUCCGAUCCAUAAUAAGUUUAUAUUCGUACUAAAUAUAUGUGUAUUCUUGACGGUUAUUAUAAGUCGAACGAAAUAUAUGUGUAUACUUGACAUUGGCCCUUCCAACUUGCUUCUCGGCAGCUAGCGCCAUCUUCCAACUUACUUGUUCAGAUGCAUCUUCCAACUUGCUAAUGACACGGAGACAGCUGAUAGCCCUCUCUCCCUAAUCUCUUGAAAUUCCUGGACUGGCAACUGUACAUGGCAUUCACUGCAAAUACGAAGGAUCCAUGUACUACAUCCUCUGGUGAUGGUAGAAAACACAAUUUUCUAACAAUGCAAGUUGUGGAACUAGGACAGCUAGCUGGGUAUUGUCAUCCUGAGGGAAACAAAACAAUUCUAGACUGCACAAUUUUUCAGAAAUCAUAUUACAAGUUGCAAGGUAGUACCCCUUUUGAUUUCAGACGUAACCUCCUUUACUAGAGCAAUACACACAAAGGAGGCAGGACGUAUUGGGUGGUUGAUGCUGCCUCGUUGAUCGAUGGUGCGUUUCCCGGAAGUUGGUCACCCAUCAGCAUCUCUGUCCAGGUCCACUAAAGCCUAAAGUUGGUGCCCCUGAAUUAUUCCACGAAGAAACCUCCAUGCAGCGUUGACUCUUCGUGGGACAUGAUUGAAGGCUGGGCUGGCCUCUUCUAUAAAUACUCAACCCCAGCACACACUUGUUUCACCAACACAACUCCACACAAGCUCAGAGUGCAGCACACACAGUGACACAGGUUACACCAACACAAGCCCAGAGAGCAGCAGCAGAGAUGUCGAAGAUGUCUUUCCGCGCCUUGUUUCUGGCUGUUCUCAUGAUCAUCUGCGCUUUGCAGACCGUCUCCGUCCAGGGAGGACACGGGUCGGUCUCUUCAGGGAUCAGGAACGCUCCCCCGAGCCGCCCCAGCGGCAGGGUGCCUUCUAGACACCCGCCUUCUUCCGGUUCCGGUUCCAGCGCCCCUAGCAAUCCUGGAUGCGGGAUAGGGCCCAUCCAGUGUUGACGGCUGCAGCGCAGCGCCGAGAAUAUGGAUACAUGCAAUGUGUUACAGUAUGAAUAAACUCGGAUGAGUACACAUAAAUUUGUGCCGCCGUGGUCGUCUUCGCGGGUUGCCGGCUCGCGUUUGUGCCUUCGUGUUUUCUCUAUUUUGCUCGGAUCUUUUCUAGUUUCUCCAUGUAUUUGUAUUCGAAUAUUUCGCCCUUUCUGUAAUGUAAUUUGUUAUCAAACAAAAUAAAGUUGUGUAUCCAUGUAAGGGACCUGUCUGCUUGUCUUGUUGUAUGAACGAAUUAAGGCAGAUA